CCUCCGCUCGUCUAUCGGUUUAGGACGCUGGCCUUUCACGCCGGAAAGAGGGGUUCGAUUCCCCUGCGGAGGACCA
rnacentral:tRNA from 1 species